UACAGAGGGGGCAAGCGUUGUUCGGAAUUACUGGGCGUAAAGGGCACGUAGGCGGAUUGUUAAGUCGGGGGUGAAAUCCUGGAGCUCAACUCCAGAACUGCCUUCGAUACUGGCGAUCUCGAGUUCGGGAGAGGUGAGUGGAACUGCGAGUGUAGAGGUGAAAUUCGUAGAUAUUCGCAAGAACACCAGUGGCGAAGGCGGCUCACUGGCCCGAUACUGACGCUGAGGUGCGAAAGCGUGGGGAGCAAACAGG
rnacentral:rRNA from 1 species